rnacentral:rRNA from 1 species
CCUACGGGUGGCAGCAGUGGGGAAUAUUGCACAAUGGGGGAAACCCUGAUGCAGCGACGCCGCGUGAAGGAUGAAGUAUUUCGGUAUGUAAACUUCUAUCAGCAGGGAAGAAAAUGACGGUACCUGACUAAGAAGCCCCGGCUAACUACGUACCAGCAGCCGCGGUAAUACGUAGGGGGCAAGCGUUAUCCGGAUUUACUGGGUGUAAAGGGAGCGUAGACGGCAUGGCAAGUCUGAUGUGAAAACCCGGGGCUCAACCCCGGGACUGCAUUGGAAACUGUCAGGCUAGAGUGUCGGAGAGGCAAGUGGAAUUCCUAGUGUAGCGGUGAAAUGCGUAGAUAUUAGGAGGAACACCAGUGGCGAAGGCGGCCUGCUGGACGACAACUGACGGUGAGGCGCGAAAGCGUGGGGAGCAAACAGGAUUAGAUACCCUUGUAGUC